rnacentral:rRNA from 1 species
AUGGUGACCGCUAGCAAUACUGAUGGGUAUGGUAAUUUACCUAUUGUGCUUUCAGUAUUUCAAUCAUCUUCGUGGUGGAUUGAUUCGGGUGCUAACAUUCAUGUGUGUGCUGACAUCUCCCUGUUUACUUCUUAUCAGGUCGCAAGGGAUUCUUCCGUCCUAAUGGGGAAUGGGUCACAUGCUUCUGUUCGUGGCAUUGGCACGGUGGAUCUGAAGUUUACUUCAGGAAAGAUCGUGCAACUAAGGAACGUGCAGCAUGUCCCUACUAUGAACAAGAAUCUAGUUAGCGGCUCCCUUCUAUGUCGAGAUGGAUUUAAGGUAGUUUUAGAGUCCAAUAAAGUAAUCGUGUCAAGAUUUGGACAAUUUAUAGGAAAAGGCUAUGAGUGCGGAGGCUUGUUCUGCUUUUCUCUUUCAGAUUUUUGCAAUAAGUCAAUAAACCAAAUUUGUGCUAGUGUUAAUGAUGAUGCAAGUAUUUGUCACUCUCGUUUAUGUCAUAUUAAUUUUGGUUUAAUGUCUCGGCUAUCCAGCAUGAGUUUAAUUCCGAACUUCACAGUUGCCAAAGGUUCUAAGUGCCAUAGUUGUGUGCAAUCUAAGCAACCUCGAAAGCCUCAUAAGGCUGCCGAGGAGAGAAACUUGGCACCUCUAGAACUCAUACAUUCUGAUCUUUGUGAGAUGAAUGGUGUGUUGACAAAAGGUGGAAAGAGAUAUUUCAUGACUUUGAUUGAUGAUGCGACUAGAUUUUGCUAUGUUUAUUUGUUGCAAACUAAAGAUGAAGCAUUAGACUACUUUAAAAUCUAUAAAGCUGAAGUUGAAAAUCAACUAGAGAGAAAGAUCAAGCGUCUUAGGUCCUAUCAUGGUGGAGAGUAUUUUCCAAAAGUUUUUGAUGAAUUUUGUGAGGAACAUGGUAUUAUUCAUGAGAGGACGCCUCCCUAUUCACCUCAAUCAAAUGAAGUGGCCGAGAGGAAAAACCAAACAUUGACUGACUUGGUGAAUGCCAUGUUAGACACUGCUGGUUUAUCUAAGGCAUGGUGGGGGGAGGCUCUAUUGACUUCAUGUCAUGUCCUGAAUAGAGUUCCCAACAAUAAUAAAGAGAAAACCCCUUAUGAGGAGUGGGUUGGGAGAAAACCAUCACUUUCUUAUUUGCGCACUUGGGGAUGUUUGGCAAAGGUCAAUAUUCCUAUUCCUAAGAAACACAAACUUGGACCAAAGACAGUGGAUUGUGUCUUUCUAGGGUAUGCUCAACGGAGCAUUGCUUAUAGGUUUUUAGUGGUAAAAUCUGAAGUACCUGAUAUGCAUGUUGAUACUAUAAUGGAAUCUUGUGAUGCAACAUUUUUUGAGAACAUAUUUCCUAUGAAAGAUAUGCAUAACAUUGCUAGAUUUUCUUCUGAGAUAAUUCCUGAAUCUAGUACAACUGAUGAAUAUUUCGAACAAUCACAUGAGGAAGUCCUUGAGAAGGAUAACAAUGAAGUUCCUAGAAGGAACAAGAGACAAAGGAUUGCAAAAUCCUUUGGUGAUGAUUUCAUUGUAUACCUUGUGGACGACACACCCAAGACGAUUGCAGAAGCAUAUGCAUCUCCGGAUGUAGAUGAUUGGAAAGAAGCUGUUCACAAUGAGAUGGACUCAAUUCUUUCUAAUGGAACUUGGGAACUAACUGAUAGACCAUAUGGUUGUAAACCUGUGGGCUGUAAGUGGGUGUUCAAAAAGAAGCUAAAGCCUGAUGGUACUAUUGAUAAAUACAAGGCGCGGCUAGUGGCCAAGGGCUACACUCAGAAAGAAGGCGAAGAUUACUUUGACACCUAUUCACCCGUUGCUAGAAUGACCACCAUUCGAGUGUUACUUUCCUUGGCUGCCUCUUAUGGUCUUAUCAUUCAUCAAAUGGAUGUAAAGACAGCUUUUCUCAAUGGAGAGUUGGAAGAGGAGAUCUAUAUGGAUCAGCCUGACGGGUUUGUGGUAAAGGGUGAAGAGAGAAAGGUGUGCAAGUUGUUAAAAUCUUUGUAUGGUCUGAAACAGGCACCUAAGCAAUGGCAUGAGAAGUUUGAAAGAACUUUGACUUCUGCAGGAUUUGUCAUUAACGAGGCUGACAGGUGUGUUUACUAUCGCCAUGGUGGGGGCAAUAGUGUCAUAUUAUGUUUGUAUGUGGACGACAUACUGAUCUUUGGUACAAACAUUAAUGCAAUUAAUGAGGUCAACUCUUUUCUAUCAAAAAGUUUUGACAUGAAAGAUCUGGGAGAAGCCGAUGUAAUUCUAAACAUCAAACUUAUUAAGGAUGAGAGUGGGAUUACAUUAACGCAAUCUCACUAUGUUGAGAAGGUCUUGAACCGAUUCGGUUUUAUGGAUAGCAAGCCUUCUCCAACACCUUAUGAUCCCAGCGUGACACUCAGAAAGAACAAGAAAGAAACGAGAGAUCAAUUAAGAUACUCUCAAAUUGUCGGUUCACUCAUGUACUUGCUAGCGCUACAAGACCAGAUAUCUCUUUUGCUGUGA